rnacentral:lncRNA from 1 species
UGUGAGGAAGUGAAUUCUCGAAAUACAAGGAUUAGACUUCAUGUAGGAUCGACCAAGGGUCGUGUUGGUGAGCUUUGGAAAAGCCAAAGAUAUUAAAAUCACCAAAAGUGCAUUGGAAAUGAGUCCACGAGAGCAAAUAGUGCAAAACUUGCACUGGAGCAAAAUUGCUCUCGGGGACCGGUCCCUGGCAGGGAGGGACCGGUCCCAUCGGCUGGUGUUGCGGGGUUGCUUGAGGCAACCGGUCCCUGGCAGGGAGGGACCGGUUCCCGAACGCGAUCCCAGCGAGAAAAGCCAAAAAUUGGCUAAGUCCUAAAAAUAUUGCUCUCGGGGACCGGUCUCUCAAGCAAGGACCGGUCUCCCAGGGACCGGUCUCUCAGGGAAGGACCGGUACCCGAACGCAUGACCCGAGCUGAAGCUCUCGGGGACCGGUCCCAAGUCGGGGAGACCGGUCCCUCCGCGCGCAGAAUGCCCAGUAAGGGCAGUGCACAGAG